CCUACGUGGUGCAGCAGUGGGGAAUAUUGCGCAAUGGGCGAAAGCCUGACGCAGCGACGCCGCGUGAGGGAUGAAGGUCUUCGGAUCGUAAACCUCUGUCAGUAGGGAAGAACGGUCACUGUGCUAAUCAGCAGUGAAUUGACGGUACCUGCAAAGGAAGCACCGGCUAACUCCGUGCCAGCAGCCGCGGUAAUACGGAGGGUGCGAGCGUUAAUCGGAAUUACUGGGCGUAAAGCGCUCGUAGGCGGUAUGUCAAGUCAAGGGUGAAAUCCCCGCGCUCAACGUGGGAACUGCCUUUGAAACUGGCAAACUGGAGUGUGUGAGAGGAUAGUGGAAUUCCAGGUGUAGGAGUGAAAUCCGUAGAUAUCUGGAGGAACAUCAGUGGCGAAGGCGACUAUCUGGCACAUAACUGACGCUGAGGAGCGAAAGCGUGGGUAGCAAACAGGAUUAGAUACCCCAGUAGUC
rnacentral:rRNA from 1 species